CUCCUUGCUCGUGGGCAGGUUCAAAGCUGUCUUCAGGUAGUAGUAGUGCAGCGUCAAAGUCGUCGUCUGGUGCACAAUGGCUUCCUCGCGAGGAAGCCAUUGUGCACCCAGGGGUUCAUCCAGCAUUCUCCUCCACCUUGAUAUUCCCACGGAAAUCGUCAUGCAUUUCCAGGAUCCGGAAGGGUCCAUCCCAGAGAUGUGUCAGUUUACGGCUCAAUUAUGGUUGUACUUUGGGUAUGUAUGGGUAUGUAGAGCCACACCGCAUCGCCAACCUGGAAAUACGCUUCCAGGCGCUCCAAUAACUCCUUCCACUUCCUGGUUUGCCCUUCCGACAGUCUUCGCUUUGCGACUUUCUGGAGAACCUCAGCGCACGCCGAGCGUAACUAUAAUCACGCUGCAUCUCUUUUGGAAACGGAUUAUCCGGCGAUAAGGAGGAUGCCUUGGCAAAGCACUUUAAUUUUUGAAGUGUCCUGUGCGCCCACGACAGCCCUUGAAAAUCCUGGCUAGAGAUUUAUUCGCACCCUCGUUCGUACUCAUAACCGCAUCAGGUCUCAAAGGUUAGCAGCCUCUAGUUGAUAGAAGAAUGUAGAUAAGCGAAGUCGGCAAAAUAGAUCCGUAACUUCGGGAAAAGGACUGGCUCUGAGGGUUGGGCCUAGGGGUCUUUUCGGAGAGCUUGUGGCGGCCUACGUUGGGCUGCGUCUGGACCUUUCGGGGACCGGAUGCGCCUGGCGGUUGGGCUACUCUUGUUGUGCCGGAGAGAAAGGUGGUUGGCUUUCGGGUUGGCUGCUGUGUCCUUAGUGCGUUGAACAACCGGCUCAGAACUGGAGCGGACAAGGGAAAUCCGGCUGUUUAAUUAAAACAAAGCAUUGUGAUGGCCGGAGCACGUACGGCUUUAACCGCCCAACGUAGAACGUUGGAAGAAGCCUCAUGCUGGACAUUCAGUCGGUACGCGUUGCCGUGUCGUUCAAGUACUGUGAACGGCCCGAUGAAUCUUGGAGCAAGCUUACUUGCUCCAAAGUUAGACACUGCAUGUUUAAUCAGGUUUUGUGCAGCUAACAAAACCAAUGAACCCUUUUCGAAUUCAGUUGUGUUGCCCCUGCCAACAUUGUCCGCAUUCAGCUUCUGUCGACCGGCAGAAGCUGCGAUAAAAUUUUGUACAAACCGUAUUACGGCUUGUCUUCGCUGGACAAAGUCUAGCACAUUCGAGCUGAACUCCUUCAGCUCGUCGCCUUCGUCCGCAGUAGGCCCUGCCUGCUCGCUAUCAUCUCGUGCUCGUUCCUGCUCGAACGAAACGCAGCACGCGUCACCGCAGCUGAUAGUGUGCUAUCAGCUGUCCUCUGCGGUUGUUCAGGCGCAACCGUAGAUCCUCCCCCACUUAAGGAGGAAGCUAUCCCUCCGAGCAUGCUCGGCAAANGUGGAUGCCGCAUGGCAUNCACNNAGAACGGUGUAUGCCCUGUCGAGGCAUGCACCGAGUUGUUGAUGGCAAACUCUGCCAUCGGCAAGCANUCGCUCCANUGNGGGAACGAGUGNGCGUAGCUCUUCAGCGCGUCNNCCAGUACUCGGUUGACGCGUUCCGUCUGUCCGCCCGACUGCGGAUGAUCCACAGUCGAUAUUGACAAGAAGUGUAAACACUUCUUGCCAGAACCGCGCUGUGAAGCGUGAUCACGGUCCGACACAAUGUCGAGCGGCAUGCCAUGGUGUUUGAACACCAUGUCAACAAACAGUCGCGCAGUCUGCGCGGCUGUAACAGUAGCCGGGACGGCAGCAAGAUAGACCAUCUUGCUGAAUCGGUCCACAAAGACAACGAUGCCCGUCCUCCGCUUGCUGUCAGGCGGAAGACCGAAGACAAAGUCCGUGGGCAUGGACUGCCAACACUCCGACGGCGUCGGAAAUGAUCGAAGAGGAGCCUGCGUGAACAGCGCAGGCUUCACGCGUUGACAAACCUCGCAAGCACGUACGUACUUGCGCACCCACUUAUACUGGUGGUGCCAGUAGAAGUCGCGCGUGAGAAGAGUGUGUCUUCUCACGACCCGGAUGCCCUGCCGUCUGGAUUCACAUUCAGCGGUCAAGAACCGACGGACUACGGUACUACGACUCGGUGACGGUUCGAGCGACUCUUCGGUGGGUGCGACUAGCAGUUGAACGAUCGGCGGAGACAUGAGAAGGCACAAGGACAGUUGAGGUAACUGUUGGCACGUGUAGCGAUCCAUAACGGAUCAUAGUUCACUUGAUAUUUGUAAACAUGAUUAGGAUUGCAUAUUAGGAAGAGCCCGAAAGGGCAUAACGAAUAACAGAACAGAAUUUCCACUCAAGCACACGAGCGAGGUCCGGCUUCAAGGUAAGCGUCUGGAUAAGCUUGUUUGGGUGUGUUAUGCCUGUCGGUGGACUCGAAGCUUACUAGCGAGGGUUCAUCCGGCAAGGCCAAGUGAGUGUGUGUAUUGGCCGAUUAUAUAUCGGAAGUUUACGUGACGGCUUUAUUGUGCCUAUUUGCACGUGUUGGGGAGAGCGAGUUGCCUCCCAUAUAUUCUUCCAGUCGAGUGUUGAACACUCGGCGCCCUCGUAAAAGGCUUACCCGUGCCUGGUACCAUUCCGCUGUUGGGACCACAAGGAUUCAUAACACCUACUAGAUUUUCUCGUGCUAGUAUCGUGUUCUUAUUUUACUGGUUGGUCUAUAUAAGCGAUUUGCAGGUCCAGUCUGUCCCAGUGUAAGGGCUGAGUCUGGGUCUUCAGAUCAUGCCCAACGAUCGUUUACCGUUCUGGUAGACGUAUUGUUGUGGGUUUAUCCUACCUACACUAGUAGCUAGAGUUGCCGUGGGAAUUACAACACCACAACUGGUGCCGCGACCCGGGAACAGAGUGUGACUUUUGUGAAUUGUUUGUAUGCCCUCCCAGGUUACAAGCAACCAAGAGAGAAGAACAAGAAGAUCAAGAAAACAAGAAAAAUGGCGAAAGGAAAAUCGACUGCGGUACCAGCUACUCCUGCCAAGUCCGGCGGAGCGCGCUACGAGAGUUCAAGUCCGGACGGGAC
rnacentral:ncRNA from 1 species